CUGCUUGCCAGAACAGUUUUGAAAUGGUCUGAGGCCUUGUCCUGUUCCAUCCAGAACAAGGUCAUAGAAAUUUUAGAAAAUU
rnacentral:snoRNA from 1 species